GGCUGACUGAGGAGGAAGACAUGGGAUUGACGCGAUCCAUCAACGUCCUAGUGGUCGGUGCGGCCUUUGCCUUUGUCGUGACGAUGCUCUUCAUCUGACGACUUCGGCAAGCUCGCAAACGAUCGAACUCCGAAAGCUAACAAAACACCGAUUCCAUUGGAAAAGCGCAUAUCCGAAAUGGAUAUGCGCUUU
rfam:Rhizobium freirei PRF 81 Cont720, whole genome shotgun sequence.